rnacentral:rRNA from 1 species
CACGUAGGGUGCGAGCGUUGUCCGGAAUUAUUGGGCGUAAAGAGCUCGUAGGCGGUCUGUCGCGUCGGAUGUGAAAAAUCCAGGGCUCAACCCUGGACCUGCAUUCGAUACGGGCAGACUAGAGUUCGGUAGGGGAGACUGGAAUUCCUGGUGUAGCGGUGAAAUGCGCAGAUAUCAGGAGGAACACCGAUGGCGAAGGCAGGUCUCUGGGCCGAUACUGACGCUGAGGAGCGAAAGCGUGGGGAGCGAACAGG